GAGUUUGAUCCUGGCUCAGAUUGAACGCUGGCGGCAGGCCUAACACAUGCAAGUCGAGCGGCAGCGGGAAAGUAGCUUGCUACUUUUGCCGGCGAGCGGCGGACGGGUGAGUAAUGCCUGGGGAUCUGCCCAGUCGAGGGGGAUAACUACUGGAAACGGUAGCUAAUACCGCAUACGCCCUACGGGGGAAAGCAGGGGACCUUCGGGCCUUGCGCGAUUGGAUGAACCCAGGUGGGAUUAGCUAGUUGGUGAGGUAAUGGCUCACCAAGGCGACGAUCCCUAGCUGGUCUGAGAGGAUGAUCAGCCACACUGGAACUGAGACACGGUCCAGACUCCUACGGGAGGCAGCAGUGGGGAAUAUUGCACAAUGGGGGAAACCCUGAUGCAGCCAUGCCGCGUGUGUGAAGAAGGCCUUCGGGUUGUAAAGCACUUUCANCGAGGAGGAAAGGUUGGUGGUUAAUACCUGCCAGCUGUGACGUUNCUCGCA
rnacentral:rRNA from 1 species